GUGAGUCAUCGAAUCUUUGAACGCACCUUGCGCUCCUUGGUAUUCCUUGGAGCAUGCCUGUUUGAGUAUCAUGAAAUUCUCAAAGUAAACCUUUUGUUAAUUCAAUUGGUUCUGCUUUGGACUUGGAGGACUUUGCGGAUUAACAUCUGCUCCUCUUAAAUUUAUUAGCUGGAUCUCAGUAUAUGCUUGGUUCCACUCGGCGUGAUAAGUUAUCACUCGCUGAGGACACUGUAAAAGGUGGCCAGGAAAUACAGAUGAACCGCUUCUAAUAGUCUAUUAAAUUAGACAAUUAAUUUUAAG
rnacentral:misc_RNA from 1 species